rnacentral:rRNA from 1 species
UACGAAGGGGGCUAGCGUUAUUCGGAAUUAUUGGGCGUAAAGGGCGCGUAGGCGGCCCUGUAAGUCAACGGUGAAAUCCCUCGGCUCAACCGAGGACGUGCCGUUGAUACUGCAGGGCUCGAGGCCGGGAGAGGGUAGUGGAAUUCCCAGUGUAGCGGUGAAAUGCGUAGAUAUCAGGAGGAACACCAAUGGCGAAGGCAGCACUCUGGGACGUGACUGACGCUGAGACGCGAAAGCGUGGGGAGCAAACAGG